rnacentral:snRNA from 2 species
AUCGCUUCUCGGCCUUUUGGCUAAGAUCAAGUGUAGUAUUUACACUAUACCUAUGCCAACAUUCUAUAUAUCAAACCUCAUAAUAUAUUACAAGCGUGUUUCUUAUUUUGUGCUUUUUCUGAGGUCAAAAAUUGCUU